UGCAGUUGAACGCAACAAAGACACCAGAGCUUGCUCUACCGUCUUUGUUGAGUAGCGAACGGGUGAGUAACGCGUGGGUAACCUGCCUUAUAGCGGGGGAUAACUAUUGGAAACGAUAGCUAAUACCGCAUAACAAUAGAGAUUGCAUAAUCUUUAUUUGAAAGUGCCAACUGGUACACUAUGAGAUGGACCCGCGUUGUAUUAGCUAGUUGGUAGUGUAAUGGACUACCAAGGCGAUGAUACAUAGCCGACCUGAGAGGGUGAUCGGCCACAUUGGGACUGAGACACGGCCCAAACUCCUACGGGAGGCAGCAGUAGGGAAUCUUCGGCAAUGGACGAAAGUCUGACCGAGCAACGCCGCGUGAGUGAAGAAGGUUUUCGGAUCGUAAAACUCUGUUGUUAGAGAAGAACGUUGAUUAGAGUGGAAAAUUAAUCAAGUGACGGUAUCUAACCAGAAAGGGACGGCUAACUACGUGCCAGCAGCCGCGGUAAUACGUAGGUCCCGAGCGUUGUCCGGAUUUAUUGGGCGUAAAGCGAGCGCAGGUGGUUUAAUAAGUCUGAUGUAAAAGGCAGUGGCUCAACCAUUGUGUGCAUUGGAAACUGUUAGACUUGAGUGCAGUAGAGGAGAGUGGAAUUCCAUGUGUAGCGGUGAAAUGCGUAGAUAUAUGGAGGAACACCGGUGGCGAAAGCGGCUCUCUGGACUGUCACUGACACUGAGGCUCGAAAGCGUGGGUAGCAAACAGGAUUAGAUACCCUGGUAGUCCACGCCGUAAACGAUGAGUGCUAGUUGUUUGGGGCUAUCCAGCCCUAAGUGACGCAGCAAACGCAUUAAGCACUCCGCCUGGGGAGUACGACCGCAAGGUUGAAACUCAAAGGAAUUGACGGGGGCCCGCACAAGCGGUGGAGCAUGUGGUUUAAUUCG
rnacentral:rRNA from 1 species